GAUGAACGCUGGCGGCGUGCCUAAUACAUGCAAGUCGAGCGAACAGACGAGGAGCUUGCUCCUCUGACGUUAGCGGCGGACGGGUGAGUAACACGUGGAUAACCUACCUAUAAUACUGGGAUAACUUCGGGAAACCGGAGCUAAUACCGGAUAAUAUAUUGAACCGCAUGGUUCAAUAGUGAAAGACGGUUUUGCUGUCACUUAUAGAUGGAUCCGCGCCGCAUUAGCUAGUUGGUAAGGUAACGGCUUACCAAGGCAACGAUGCGUAGCCGACCUGAGAGGGUGAUCGGCCGCACUGGAACUGAGACACGGUCCAGACUCCUACGGGAGGCAGCAGUAGGGAAUCUUCCGCAAUGGGCGAAAGCUUGACGGAGCAACGCCGCGUGAGUGAUGAAGGUCUUCGGAUCGUAAAACUCUGUUAUUAGGGAAGAAAAAAUGUGUAAGUAACUAUGCACGUCUUGACGGUACCUAAUCAGAAAGCCACGGCUAACUACGUG
rnacentral:rRNA from 1 species